rnacentral:rRNA from 1 species
AGAGUUUGAUCAUGGCUCAGGAUGAACGCUAGCGGCAGGCUUAACACAUGCAAGUCGAGGGGUAUAGGUUUUCGGACCUAGAGACCGGCGCACGGGUGCGUAACGCGUAUGCAAUCUACCUUUUACAGAGGGAUAGCCCAGAGAAAUUUGGAUUAAUACCUCAUAGUAUUACGACUCGGCAUCGAGAUGUAAUUAAAGUCACAACGGUAAAAGAUGAGCAUGCGUCCCAUUAGCUAGUUGGUAAGGUAACGGCUUACCAAGGCAACGAUGGGUAGGGGUCCUGAGAGGGAGAUCCCCCACACUGGUACUGAGACACGGACCAGACUCCUACGGGAGGCAGCAGUGAGGAAUAUUGGUCAAUGGGCGCAAGCCUGAACCAGCCAUGCCGCGUGCAGGAUGAAGCAUCUAUGGUGUGUAAACUGCUUUUGUACGAGAAGAAACACUGCUACGUGUAGCAGCUUGACGGUAUCGUAAGAAUAAGGACCGGCUAACUCCGUGCCAGCAGCCGCGGUAAUACGGAGGGUCCAAGCGUUAUCCGGAAUCAUUGGGUUUAAAGGGUCCGUAGGCGGUUUUGUAAGUCAGUGGUGAAAGCCCAUCGCUCAACGGUGGAACGGCCAUUGAUACUGCAAGACUUGAAUUAUUGGGAAGUAACUAGAAUAUGUAGUGUAGCGGUGAAAUGCUUAGAGAUUACAUGGAAUACCAAUUGCGAAGGCAGGUUACUACCAAUAUAUUGACGCUGAUGGACGAAAGCGUGGGGAGCGAACAGGAUUAGAUACCCUAGUAGUCC